CCUGAUUACUCUGCUGGACACUUUUGAUAAUAGAAUAAAAGAAACAAUUUAAAAUCCAGAUGCAAUAACAACAAUAUUAUAAAAAGGAUACAUUGCCAUACAGAUGUUAAGUUGCAGACAGUUGCAAUGAAAAGACUACUAUACAGCUUAGCUUUUUGCCAAAAGAUAAUCUGGAAUCGUUCAGGAACUCAACGCCUCUGUGUGAUUCAUGGAUCCCGAGGAUGGCACUGCCACAACAACCCCCAGAGGGGGUCAUCACGACACCUUGGGACAACCCCAUGGGGAUGGAGCCUAUGCCUCCUCUGUCACCUCUCAUCCGACCAAUGGAGCUGGAUACUCCCAUGCCGCAGCAGCUGAUGCCUUCUACACCUUGCUAACGACCUCAAGAGGUGGACACUCAUCCUUUUAGGUGUUUUCUGGAGGACGUUUUCACCAGAGCAAAGGCCGGAUAGCAGGGUACCGGAAGUUGGAUAUCCUUUGCAGCCACAGCUUCCAGUCCAUCUGAACAUCCACAUUCCUGCCUCUCCCACUGUUGUCUUGCUUCCUAUACGAUGAUGGUCCAAUGCUUUAGGGGGGAGGAAUGUUACGGCGUAAAGUCAAGCACCAGCAUGUCAGUCGGGAAUGAUAGAGAAGAGAUGAUUGUGAGAAGAUAUCAGUCACUUGCACUAUGACCAACACCUCUUCAGGAUGACAAUGCAGCAGCAGCGGCCACCAUCUAAAGAGGACAUAAGUGCCAUGACCAACUGGUGUGCCCCAGUUCAAUUGUAGCUUCAAGCGAUUUGGAUAGAAGUGUCAAUGAUAAAUACUUCACUUGUAUUGUCUGUGUAGGACAGACUUGGGAUUUUUUAUACUGAAGAUGAUAUCUUAUUUUGUACAUCACACUUUGCUUGCGAUACUUCUGUGCAGUUGUCAAAGUUAAGUAUUGUCAUUU